rnacentral:lncRNA from 1 species
CAGAUUUAAUCUUUAAUAAGAUAAUGGUAGCACCAAGAAAAGUGUCAUAAUACUUGAUAUCAGAUAAUAAAUGUUUUAUUUUGGUGAAUGUGUAGUUACAUUCAAACUUGAAUGUGAAGGUUUAGGUUUUUCCAAACAAGUCUUGCCAUACGCAAACACUUUAGCUUCCAUAAAUUGUAAGUAUUCUUUGCCUCUUAAGGCAAUCUUGACUAUCCGUCCAAUUGUAGGUUUACUGCACUUAAGUAUAAGGAGUUCUCCACUUCUAGCCGGACCUUUGUAAUAAGUGCAUGCCGUCAUUUUACUUAAUGUUGGGCCAACCAUAAUAUCCGCUUGACGGAAUCUAUGACCUAAAAUGAAAAUGAAAAUGAUUUAACACCGUGACCAGUUCCUGCAUUUAGAAGGAACUCGUGCAAAUGAUAAAAAUAUUCAGAAUAUUAAUACAUCCCUGGCAUUCCAUCAAUACUUAUCGGAC